CACCAGAGGGUAGCUCAGUUGUUGGAGCAUGAGACUCUUAAUCUCAGCGUCAUGGGUUUGACCCACCGUUGGGUGA